UACAGAGGAUGCAAGCGUUAUCCGGAAUUAUUGGGCGUAAAGAGCUCGUAGGCGGCUUGUCACGUCGGGUGUGAAAGACCGGGGCUUAACCCCGGUUCUGCAUUCGAUACGGGCUGGCUAGAGUGUGGUAGGGGAGAUCGGAAUUCCUGGUGUAGCGGUGAAAUGCGCAGAUAUCAGGAGGAACACCUAUAGCGAAGGCAGCUUGCUGGGACGAUACUGACGCUAAGGCUCGAAAGCGUGGGGAGCGAACAGG
rnacentral:rRNA from 1 species